rnacentral:rRNA from 1 species
GAUGAACGCUGACGGCGUGCCUAAUACAUGCAAGUCGAGCGAACGGACGAGAAGCUUGCUUCUCUGCUGUUAGCGGCGGACGGGUGAGUAACACGUGGCUAACCUACCUAUAAGACUGAGAUAACUUCGGGAACCCGGAUCUAAUACCGGAUAAUAUUUUGAACCGCAUGGUUCAAAAGUGAUAGACGGUCUUGAUGUCACUAAUAGAUGGAUCCGCGCUGCAUUAGCUAGUUGGUAAGGUAACGGCUUACCAAGGCAACGAUGCAUAGCCGACCUGAGAGGGUGAUCGGCCACACUGGAACUGAGACACGGUCCAGACUCCUACGGGAGGCAGCAGUAGGGAAUCUUCCGCAAUGGGCGAAAGCCUGACGGAGCAACGCCGCGUGAGUGAUGAAGGUCUUCGGAUCGUAAAACUCUGUUAUUAGGGAAGAACAUAUGUGUAAGUAACUGUGCACAUCUUGACGGUACCUAAUCAGAAAGCCACGGCUAACUACGUG